GGGGUAGCUCAUCGGUAGAGCGCUCGCUUAGCAUGCGAGAGGUACAGGAUUCGACUCCCUGGUACUCCA
rnacentral:tRNA from 1 species